rnacentral:rRNA from 1 species
CUAAGCCUACGGGAGGCAGCAGUAGGGAAUUUUCGUCAAUGGGCGCAAGCCUGAACGAGCAAUGCCGCGUGAACGAGGAAGGUCUUCGGAUCGUAAAGUUCUGUUGAAGGGGAAAAAGAGCGGAGAGAGGAAAUGAACUCCGAUUGAUAUUACCCUUCGAGGAAGUCACGGCCAACUACGUGCCAGCAGCCGCGGUAAUACGUAGGUGGCGAGCGUUAUCCGGAAUGAUUGGGCGUAAAGGGUGCGUAGGCGGCCUGCUAAGUCUGGAGUGAAAGGUACCGGCUCAACCGGUACAGGCUCUAGAA